rnacentral:tRNA from 1 species
GCGACGGUGGUGAAAUCGGUAAACACAGGGGACUUAAACUCCCCCGGCUGUAAUGGCCUUGCGGGUUCAAGUCCCGCCCGUCGCACCA